rnacentral:rRNA from 1 species
CUCAUUAAAUCAGUUAUAGUUUAUUUGAUGGUCUCUUUGUCUUUUUUUUACCUACUUGGAUAACCGUGGUAAUUCUAGAGCUAAUACAUGCGCAAGGUCCCAAGCGCGGAGGGUAGGGCUUCACGGCUCUAUUCUUGCAUGCGCAGCGGGAUGUAUUUAUUAGGUUAAACAACCAGCUAUUUUCAUCAUCUGGUGAUUCAUAGUAACUCUUUCGGAUCGCAUUCAUG